AGAAGCUAGUUCUUUCCUGAAUCUAAAAGAUAAAAAGUAAGUUUUUCCCCAAUUAAUUUCAGGGUUAACCUCACCAUCACUCAAGGAAGAUAUUUAGUAUAAAUAACCUUAAAAUAUCAAUAUAAAAGUUACUUUCCAGAAUGUAUUUUUAAGAUACUAUUUCCACUAAGCGUUGUACUCACCACCAUGACUCAUCAUUUUAUUUAAGAUGUUAGAGAAAUUUAGAUUCAUCUAAUACCCAAAUCCAAUUACUAUAUUUUUAGGUAUUACCUUUAUGACAGUCCAGGGAGCUAGAUCAACAGUUCUUACCAUGAAAAGAGGAAUGGAGUAAACCAAUUUAAAUGAAUUGAUGAGGAAUGGUCUCACCUAAAUAAUUAUCAGUUAAUCAUUUUUUCAAAUGUGACCUUGAAGAAUAUCCUGUUCUACUUGACUAUCCCUCCUCAAACAGUUUUGAUUACUUUACUUUUUCCAUUAUUACAUUCACACUUCUAACUUAGAGAUUAUGAAAAAUAAAUAAUUUGCUUCUAGGUCAUUAUUCAUUUUUAGAACUGUGAAUGACCUACCUGGAUAAUGAGUGGUUUCUCAUUAGUCAAGUCUCCAGUGAGCUUUACCCUAAACCUAUGUCAGAGUAAGGAACAUUUGUGAAAUAAACAAAGGGAGAAAACAGAAAACAAUAACUUGUUUUAUUUCUAUUCUUAUGUGAAUGGAGAACUCUCUGGCCUAAGAUUCAGGGUUUGGAUUUACUUUUAAAAGUAUAGACUCAUGUUUUAGAGUAAAUUCUGCAAACAUAACUCUAUUUCUUACUACUGAGUCAUACAGUCUUGUGAGAACUAGAAAAGAUUCUUUAUAUUUGCUGUUUAUGUGUGUUAAGUCUUCUAAAUUUUCUUCCUAAACCAAUGAAAGCAUACAAAUGUUGCAUUGUAAAUGCACACAAUGGUGUGAGCUAACCUGAAAUAAUAUGACUGUUGUUGACUCUUUAAAAAAAAAAAAAAAAACAUUUUCCCCCAGCAGCUGCUUCUGACUUCAGUUGUGAAACAUUAUUUCCAUGCACAUCCAUGAAUUAUUUAGAGUUUCUUACUCUGUAACUCUUUCCUUCUGCUGAUUUUAACACCAGUUUUGAACUGUUGUCCUUAGAAGGGUUAAAGCUCAUAUAAGACUGAAUUCCACAUAAGCCUCCUACUUAUGCAAAAAUAGUUCUCCAUAAGCUUAUACUUAUGCAUAAAAGUUCUCAAUGCAAAAUGAGAAUUUAAGUAGGUAUGAACUCUACAAUAUAAUGGAAAACAGUAAAGACUAAUUUUCCAUUUUAAGAGUUCUAUCUGGAAGCAGAAGAGUCUCCAGCUUUUAUCAAAUUAUGAGUCAUCAAUGAUGAUCAAGCUUUCUAAAGUUUUCCUACCCAUAUUUUUCAAAUGAAUAAAAGUUUUGUUCUAGUAUUUAAAAAAUCCAAACACCUAGUUCAGAAAAGUAUUCUUUAUUGAUAUGUGAGUCUUACUUCUUCAGCAAAGAAAAAGUCAUUAAGACACUAGCUAUCUAAAGGAAAAAAUCAAAAAUUAAUCAACUAACUGUCAAAUAUUUCCAACAAGGGUGAUCAUGACAUAGAGGCUACAUUAUACACCAGCCAUCCCUGUAUUUGGGGAAAAGGCAACAUCGUUUGGGUGGAGCAGUACUAAGAAACCUGUAAUGGAAUCUGUCUUUCCAAAUCAAACCUAGCUUUCUUUGCUUUCGCUUUUCACUUUUGCCUUUUGCCUUUUCCCUUUCUUUUCAUGUCCCAUUGAAGUUUUGGCCUUCUCACUACUCAACUCAAAUGGAGCAUCUAGGACCAAGCAGGUUUUUCUCUUUGACUUGAAUUUUCAUCCAGAUGAUUGCAUCCUAUAGACACACCAUUUUUCAAAAUAAGAUCUGGCAACAUUCAACUGUGGGGUUCAACUGCAGAUGCCAAAAAUGCAAGGUGCUAUGACGGAGUUUUAUAGUGUCUAGUGGAAAAACUCAAUGAAAUCAUAUUCUUAGGGAAAUAAUAUUGACCUCUUAUUCUCCAUAAUGUAGGCAGGUUUAGAAGCCCUGAUUCCCAGAAGAAAAUGCUUUCAUCAGUCAACAUUACAUUUAACUUGAAGCCACAGCUGCUGCCUAGUCACUUUGGGCUUAUCAUGUCAAAAGACCAGCAUCAAGGAAAGAGGUGACUAUGCUAACAGGGAGAAUUAACCCUGAUCACCAGGUGAGGGAGAGUUGCCAUCACACGAAGGGAGCAGGGAAGAAUAUGCUUGGAACUCAUGUGAUCUACCUGGCUGUCUCUUGAUACUUCUUCACCAAUUUUGAUCGUAAAUGGAGAAAUGAAGCAACACAGAUCAAGAGAUAUCAGUCUGGGUCAUCUGCACAAGGUUUCUCCAGGAAAAUAUGGGCAUCAGAAUCAUGAAGGAGCUACUCCCAGAAGGUGGAUUUAAGCAAUGCCAAGAGUGAUCUCCAUACAUGUUGUAAUGUGGUAUGCAUAUUUUCCCACUUCAAUAUUAAUCACCCAGUCCAUAAGCUACUGGAAAUUGCCCUCAGAUGAAAGGAAUCACCCUACCCAAGACCACAUUCCCUUCCUAGGACCUGCCCUCAUCCAAUGACCGGUUGAUGCUGGAUAUAAAGGACCUGCCCCUUGCCCCAACUGGGGACAACUGGAAAGGUCAGCUUAGCUCCAAAGCACUCCAUAAAAUGGGCUGAGAUCUUCAUUGUAGCUCCAUCACAGUUCUACUUUUCUCUCCCCUCUCCAGUCCUUCUUUCUUCCACUCCCAACAGUAUUGAUUCCAAGAACACUCCCUAAUAAAACC
rnacentral:lncRNA from 1 species